GACGAACGCUGGCGGCGUGCUUAACACAUGCAAGUCGAACGGAAAGGCCCUGCUUUUGUGGGGUGCUCGAGUGGCGAACGGGUGAGUAACACGUGAGUAACCUGCCCUUGACUUUGGGAUAACUUCAGGAAACUGGGGCUAAUACCGGAUAGGAGCUCCUGCUGCAUGGUGGGGGUUGGAAAGUUUCGGCGGUUGGGGAUGGACUCGCGGCUUAUCAGCUUGUUGGUGGGGUAGUGGCUUACCAAGGCUUUGACGGGUAGCCGGCCUGAGAGGGUGACCGGGCACAUUGGGACUGAGAGACGGACCAGACUCCUACGGGAGGCAGCAGUGGGGAACAUUGCACAAUGGGCGGAAGCCUGAUGCAGCAACGCCGCGUGCGGGAUGACGGCCUUCGGGUUGUAAACCGCUUUCGCCUGUGACGAAGCGGGAGUGACGGUAAUGGGUAAAGAAGCACCGGCUAACUACGUG
rnacentral:rRNA from 1 species